rnacentral:siRNA from 1 species
AGAUGAGUGACAGAGGUCUCAAGU